rnacentral:rRNA from 1 species
UACCAGCACCCCGAGUGGUCGGGACGUUUUAUUGGGCCUAAAGCAUCCGUAGCCGGUUCUACAAGUCUUCCGUUAAAUCCACCUGCUUAACAGAUGGGCUGCGGAAGAUACUAUAGAGCUAGGAGGCGGGAGAGGCAAGCGGUACUCGAUGGGUAGGGGUAAAAUCCGUUGAUCCAUUGAAGACCACCAGUGGCGAAGGCGCUUGCCAGAACGCGCUCGGACGGUGAGGGAUGAAAGCUGGGGGAGCAAACCGG